CUAUACAUGCAAGUCGAACGGGUGCAGCGAUGUACUAGUGGCGAACGGGUGAGUAACACGUUGGUGACCUGCCCCAAAGAGGGGAAUACCGCUUGGAAACGAGCGACAAAACCGCAUAAGCUAUCGGGAGUCAGAGAGCCGAUAGUAAAAGAGGAAUCUACUUUGGGAGGGGCCUGCGGCCCAUCAGCUAGUUGGAGAGGUAACGGCUCACCAAGGCGAAGACGGGUAGGGGACCUGAGAGGGUGAUCCCCCACAAUGGAACUGAAACACGGUCCAUACACCUACGGGUGGCAGCAGUAGGGAAUAUUGCUAAAUGGGCGAAAGCCUGAAGCAGCAACGCCGCGUGAACGAAGAAGGCCUUCGGGUCGUAAAGUUCUUUUACGUGGGAAGAGGAAGGACAGUACCACGGGAAUAAGUCUCGGCUAACUACGUGCCAGCAGCCGCGGUAAAACGUAGGAGACGAGCGUUAUCCGGAUUUACUGGGCGUAAAGAGCGUGUAGGAGGCGAAACAAGACGGAUGUGAAAGCUCCCGGCUUAACCGGGGGAGGUCGUACGUGACUGUAGAGCUAGAGUGGGUUAGAGGUAAGCGGAACUCCGGGAGUAGUGGUGAAAUGCGUAGAUAUCCGGAAGAACAUCAGAGGCGAAAGCGGCUUACUGGGACUCAACUGACACUGAGACGCGAAAGCCAGGGUAGCAAACGGGAUUAGAAACCCCGGUAGUCCUGGCUGUAAACGAUGUAGACUGGACGUUUUCGGGGUAAAAGCUGAGAGUGUCGAAGCAAACGCGAUAAGUCUACCGCCUGGGGAGUACGGUCGCAAGAUUAAAACUCAAAGGAAUUGACGGGGGCCCGCACAAGCAGCGGAGCGUGUGGUUUAAUUC
rnacentral:rRNA from 1 species